rnacentral:rRNA from 1 species
GACGAACGCUGGCGGCGUGCUUAACACAUGCAAGUCGUACGGUAAGGCCCUUUCGGGGGUACACGAGUGGCGAACGGGUGAGUAACACGUGAGUAACCUGCCCACAACUUUGGGAUAACGCUAGGAAACUGGUGCUAAUACUGGAUAUGUGCUCCUGCUGCAUGGUGGGGGUUGGAAAGCUCCGGCGGUUGUGGAUGGACUCGCGGCCUAUCAGCUUGUUGGUGGGGUAGUGGCCUACCAAGGCGGCGACGGGUAGCCGGCCUGAGAGGGUGACCGGCCACAUUGGGACUGAGAUACGGCCCAGACUCCUACGGGAGGCAGCAGUGGGGAAUAUUGCACAAUGGGCGCAAGCCUGAUGCAGCAACGCCGCGUGCGGGAUGACGGCCUUCGGGUUGUAAACCGCUUUCAGCAGGGACGAAGCUUUUUGUGACGGUACCUGCAGAAGAAGCACCGGCUAACUACGUC